CCGAAUCGGUUCGGUUCGAGUUGGAUUGGGCUUCAACAAUAUUAUUAUCGAACCGAACCGAAUUGAACUGGGUCGGUUCGGUUGGGUUCAAAUGUAAAUUAGUUAGGUUAAAAACUUAAAAUGAAAUUAAAUUAAAUCCUCAAACUGCAGUUUUUGCUUUUCACACCCCUUCAUCUUUGUCCUUCGCCCGUCCUUCAUUUGUCUUCCUCCUACACGAGUUCACGUGGGUUCGUCUUCUUCAUUCGUGGGUUCGUUCUCCAUUCUCCAUUCUCCGUUCGUCGCCAUUCACCAUUCUCCGUUCUCUGCGGGUUCGUCUUCUUCAUUCGUGGGUUCGUUCUCCUGCCCAAACCAACUACUAAGCUAACAUAGUUUCAACUAUAUAGAUAUAGACUAAAUAGGCAUAUAGGCAUAUGAAAUAGAUAUGAUAACUUACCAAGUGAAGUUCUUGGAAUGGGGGACUUUGGAGUUGAAUCUUAAAAAAAAACUCAGGUGGUUUCUCAAUCUUAAUCCUCAAAGCAAUCUGAAUAUUCUUUCUGGUACCCAUUUGUGAUAAGAACUCUUUGCCAAACUUCAUGGCUUUUGGUUUUGGUUUGUAAAAUGCUCUAUCUUUUGGGCUUGGACAUGAUGAAUCUUGUUAGGUAUUAGCUUUUGAAUGGUAUGUACUGAAGGACAAAAACUAAAUUUACACUUUUGUUUUUUUUCAUGUUUUGAGAGAAAAGUUCAUAGACCUUUUGGAUUUGACAUAUGGAAGAAAUUAUCAAGUGGAUGGGUUGGGAGCCUUUCGAGAUGUAAUUUGAUAAAAGAUGCUUGUUAAGGAGAUUCAACUCGUCCGUCCAAUAUUCUUGCUUUUUUUUUUUUUUCUACUGUAAGAACAUAAGAAAGUGCGGCUAUAACAACUGCCCUUUGUGAUCCUCCUUUUUGCUUCUAACAAAAUUUUAUGCUUUGUUUGAAGCAUUAUUAUUUUGUAUGUUUGUCAAAUAAAAUGGAGAUGGGGAUGGAAUGAAGAGGAGCAAAGAUUCCGCCAUAUUCUUUUUUCGAAAUUGAAUGAAUCCUUCUUACAUCAUGAUUUUCUUUCUACUUCGGAUUUCUUCUUGAUUUUGAGUAUGAAAUCGUAUGUUGGUGAUUGUAUUCCUAUAAUGCGAGCUUCAAAUGUAAGUUUUAUUGAAGGUGAUAUUGAUAUUUUGUAAAUUAUGUACUGAAUAUUAACUCAUAAUGUCACUAAUUAAUUAUAUACAAGUUUCCACGAUCCUCCAAAUUGUGUUAAUGCAUAAUGUCUUAUUUACUUUUGUAUGUUUUAUUUUGGGUCAUUUUAAUGUCUAUAAUGCACACUAUUUAAACUAGAACAAAUUGCUACAUAUGGUGGAGUUUUAAAAAAAUCCAACUCUUUCGACGUUUUCGAUUCAGGUAUUUUCUAUAUAUUUCACCUCUGAUUUCAAGAUAGAUAGAUGAUGAUAGGUAGAAUUUGUAAAGUUCUAAUUGUUUUUAUUUCUCAGGAUUGCUAGAUUUUGGGUAAGGUCAUUAUUGUAGUUGACGAUUGUUUAUCUCUACAUAUUUCAUGUACUUAUUUUAAGCUUGUUGUUACCAAAAGAUGCCUAUCUAAGUUACUUUCCAUCUGAUUCAAGCUUCAGGUAUGCUUCCUUUUCUAGCUGCCUCUUUACUUUCAAUAGGUGCGCACAAGAUAUUGUUUAGAAUAAUUUGUAUGAAAACAUAAUAUAAGGGAAAAAAAGAGCCCUAAGCGAUUUCAUUCUAAACAUUAGCAUGUUAUAGGCAUCUUGGACUGUAUCAUUUCUUAGCUGACAUGGUGAAAUAUUAUUGUUCAGGAAUUGCUAGGCGCAAUUCAUCCCACCUCUCAAUCACCCACGAGCUUGUUGAUCUCGCAAUGCGUAAUUUUUUGGGAUUCUA
rnacentral:lncRNA from 1 species